rnacentral:rRNA from 1 species
CAUGCAGUCGAGCGGAAGGCCCUUCGGGGUACUCGAGCGGCGAACGGGUGAGUAACACGUGAGCAACCUGCCCUAGGCUUUGGGAUAACCCUCGGAAACGGGGGCUAAUACCGAAUAUGACUACUGAUCGCAUGGUUGGUGGUGGAAAGUUUUUCGGCCUGGGAUGGGCUCGCGGCCUAUCAGCUUGUUGGUGGGGUGAUGGCCUACCAAGGCGACGACGGGUAGCCGGCCUGAGAGGGCGACCGGCCACACUGGGACUGAGACACGGCCCAGACUCCUACGGGAGGCAGCAGUGGGGAAUAUUGCACAAUGGGCGGAAGCCUGAUGCAGCGACGCCGCGUGAGGGAUGACGGCCUUCGGGUUGUAAACCUCUUUCAGCAGGGACGAAGCGAAAGUGACGGUACCUGCAGAAGAAGCGCCGGCCAACUACGUGCCAGCAGCCGCGGUAAGACGUAGGGCGCGAGCGUUGUCCGGAUUUAUUGGGCGUAAAGAGCUCGUAGGCGGCUUGUCGCGUCGACUGUGAAAACCCGCAGCUCAACUGCGGGCCUGCAGUCGAUACGGGCAGGCUAGAGUUCGGUAGGGGAGACUGGAAUUCCUGGUGUAGCGGUGAAAAU